rnacentral:rRNA from 1 species
GACGAACGCUGGCGGCGUGCCUAAUACAUGCAAGUCGAGCGAAGUUUUUCUGGUGCUUGCACUAGAAAAACUUAGCGGCGAACGGGUGAGUAACACGUAAAGAACCUGCCUCAUAGACUGGGACAACUAUUGGAAGCGAUAGCUAAUACCGGAUAACAGCAUUAACUGCAUGGUUGAUGUUUAAAAGUUGGUUUUGCUAACACUAUGAGAUGGCUUUGCGGUGCAUUAGCUAGUUGGUGGGGUAAAGGCCUACCAAGGCGACGAUGCAUAGCCGACCUGAGAGGGUGAUCGGCCACACUGGGACUGAGACACGGCCCAGACUCCUACGGGAGGCAGCAGUAGGGAAUCUUCCGCAAUGGGCGAAAGCCUGACGGAGCAACGCCGCGUGAGUGAAGAAGGAUUUCGGUUCGUAAAGCUCUGUUGUUAGGGAAGAAUGAUUGUGUAGUAACUAUACACAGUAGAGACGGUACCUAACCAGAAAGCCACGGCUAACUACGUGCCAGCAGCCGCGGUAAUACGUAGGUGGCAAGCGUUGUCCGGAAUUAUUGGGCGUAAAGCGCGCGCAGGUGGUUUAAUAAGUCUGAUGUGAAAGCCCACGGCUCAACCGUGGAGGGUCAUUGGAAACUGUUAAACUUGAGUGCAGGAGAGAAAAGUGGAAUUCCUAGUGUAGCGGUGAAAUGCGUAGAGAUUAGGAGGAACACCAGUGGCGAAGGCGGCUUUUUGGCCUGUAACUGACACUGAGGCGCGAAAGCGUGGGGAGCAAACAGG